rnacentral:lncRNA from 1 species
UGCAAGUGGGCUGAUGAUGAAGGGGACUGAAAGCUAAGGCAGGGGCUGGGAAGUGUGUUUUUCUUGCAGUAACCUCUCUCCUUGUUCUCCUCCUUCUGUCUUUUCUAGGCAGGACAGGGCUGCUUGCUGAUCUCUUGCCCAGUUUUGCUGUGGAGAUUAUGCCAGAGUGGGUCUUUGUGGGCCUGGUGAUCCUGGGAGCGUUCCUGUUCUUCCUCCUGGUGGGGAUCUGCUGGUGUCAGUGCUGCCCGCACAGCUGCUGCUGUUACGUCCGCUGCCCCUGCUGCCCCGAGUCCUGCUGCUGUCCCCGGGCGUGUGAGUGACCCCAUCCAAGCUGAUGCAGAUCUUUCUUACUUCUGCUCCCUGGCAGAACAGGAGGAGAAUCUGUGAAUGUUGCUUCCUUUGCCCUAAGCACUUUGCUUAACUGAAGAACUAGUUCAUGGGGAGUGAAGCAUCUGACCUAUCACUCAAUGGUUGAGCGCUCAAAGUUAAUUACAAAUGUAAUUUUCCAGGUCCUCCCUGCCUUGGCAGCUGUGCCUUCUUCUUCAUAGUGUCAUGCUCCUCUUCAAAGUUGCUAUCAUGUCAGUGAGUGUUGUGGGGGCAGAACUAAGACCAUCCAGAGAAGUAUUUUCCCAACAUUGAAAAACAGCUGCCUUCUACAACAGUGCAAAAUCCUUGUAACCCAGCAAGGUUCUCCAUCAGAGUCAGGCAGAUCUGUCAAGUUUCAUGAGCCUCAUUCCUGCAGCUUGAGUCAUCAGUUGUUUCAGAAGCUGAAUUGCCACUAAAUGGUGGCAGCGGAAAUGCUGUCUCAGACACGCUGGUUGUCUUUCUGUCACUGGGCAUCUUACAGUGUUUACUUGACACGUGCAUUUUUAAACUCCCCCAGUUCCCGUUGAGGCUUAGAGAAUAUCAAAUUGGUCCUUGUCAUUUCAUUUGUCCAGAUGUCUCCUGCUAGGGUGUCACCAGCAUCAGUGGUUUGCAGGUUUCUGUCAUGUGACAUGUGGGUCUGGAGAAAGCUGGUGCAAUGCUGACUGGUGUUCUUUUUGUUUUUCAGUGUAUGUUGCAGGCAAGGCAGCAAAAGCAGGGUACCCCCCUGCGGUCUCCUCCAUCCCAGGUCCAUACUACAUCCCCAGUGUUCCUGUAGCUGGUG